rnacentral:ncRNA from 1 species
CGGACUAUGUCAAAAAGACCAAGACUUCCUAGGUGCAAGCACCUGCGUCGCUUUGCUAUUUUGAUGGUGUCCA